rnacentral:rRNA from 1 species
UACGUAGGGGGCUAGCGUUGUCCGGAAUCAUUGGGCGUAAAGAGCGCGUAGGCGGCCCUGUAAGUCCGCUGUGAAAGUCAAGGGCUCAACCCUUGAAUGCCGGUGGAUACUGCAGGGCUAGAGUCCGGAAGAGGCGAGUGGAAUUCCUGGUGUAGCGGUGAAAUGCGCAGAUAUCGGGAGGAACACCGGUGGCGAAGGCGACUACCUGGCCUGUUCUUGACGCUGAGGCGCGAAAGCUAGGGUAGCAAACGGG